rnacentral:rRNA from 1 species
GGGGAAUAUUGCACAAUGGGCGAAAGCCUGAUGCAGCAACGCCGCGUGAGUGAUGAAGGUCUUCGGAUUGUAAAGCUCUGUCUUUUGGGACGAUAAUGACGGUACCAAAGGAGGAAGCCACGGCUAACUACGUGCCAGCAGCCGCGGUAAUACGUAGGUGGCGAGCGUUGUCCGGAUUUACUGGGCGUAAAGGGUGCGUAGGCGGAUGUUUAAGUGAGAUGUGAAAUACCCGGGCUUAACUUGGGUGCUGCAUUUCAAACUGGAUAUCUAGAGUGCAGGAGAGGAGAAUGGAAUUCCUAGUGUAGCGGUGAAAUGCGUAGAGAUUAGGAAGAACACCAGUGGCGAAGGCGAUUCUCUGGACUGUAACUGACGCUGAGGCACGAAAGCGUGGGUAGCAAACAGGAUUAGAUACCCUGGUA